rnacentral:lncRNA from 1 species
UCAUCUUCGAGCAUAUAUAUUUCUGGCUAAUCUAAUGACAUCAUUACCAAGGUUUUUUACGUCUUGGAGCACAAAUCUUUGAUUCUGUUCUAAUGGCUUCAUCACCAAGAUUAUUAUGCCCCUCUCAACCUGAGCGGUGUUGUGGCUUCCGGUUUACAUCCUGUUGACCAGGUACGGUGUUGUUGGGUGACAUGAUAUAAUUGAAGCCGAACAUAUUUCAUUAGGGGAUGAUUGUUUUUUCAAUUGGUCUAAAACGAAUUCGAGGUUAUUGGU